UGGCUCAAAUGGUAGAGCGUAUGCCUAACAAGCACAAGGCCCUGAGUUCAAGUCCCAG
rnacentral:tRNA from 1 species